rnacentral:rRNA from 1 species
AACAGGAUUAGAUACCCUGGUAGUCCACGCUGUAAACGAUGUCGAUUUGGAGGUUGUGCCCUUGAGGCGUGGCUUCCGGAGCUAACGCGUUAAAUCGACCGCCUGGGGAGUACGGCCGCAAGGUUAAAACUCAAAUGAAUUGACGGGGGCCCGCACAAGCGGUGGAGCAUGUGGUUUAAUUCGAUGCAACGCGAAGAACCUUACCUACUCUUGACAUCCAGAGAACUUAGCAGAGAUGCUUUGGUGCCUUCGGGAACUCUGAGACAGGUGCUGCAUGGCUGUCGUCAGCUCGUGUUGUGUAAUGUUGGGUUAAGUCCCGCAACGAGCGCAACCCUUAUCCUCUGUUGCCAGCGGUUCGGCCGGGAACUCAAAGGAGACUGCCAGUGAUAAACUGGAGGAAGGUGGGGAUGACGUCAAGUCAUCAUGGCCCUUACGAGUAGGGCUACACACGUGCUACAAUGGCGUAUACAAAGAGAAGCGACCUCGCGAGAGCAAGCGGACCUCAUAAAGUACGUCGUAGUCCGGAUUGGAGUCUGCAACUCGACUCCAUGAAGUCGGAAUCGCUAGUAAUCGUAGAUCAGAAUGCUACGGUGAAUACGUUCCCGGGCCUUGUACACACCGCCCGUCGCACCAUGGGAGUGGGUUGCAAAAGAAGUAGGUAGCUUAACCUUCGGGAGGGCGCUUACCACUUUGUGAUUCAUGACUGGGGUGAAGUCGUAACAAGGUAACCGUAGGGGAACCUGCGGCUGGAUCACCUCCUU